rnacentral:tmRNA from 1 species
GGGGAUGUACCGGUUUCGACGGGGGUGUGGAGGCAGGAAUAGCGGGCAGAUGCGCCUGGCAUCUUUAACAACGGGCAAACUUUAUAAAUUAAAGAACGACGAUAACGCUGUUCUUCUCGCUGCCUAAGCAGUGAGCGUCCCACCCGGGAGGACCACGGCCCGGGAUGGGGCGUCGACAAGUGGUGCACGUGCAUAUGCUAAGCUUUGCGCAUAUCAUGAAUCAUGAAGCUACCAAGCCCCGCAGCAUGACGGCAUGCGGCAGGGCGAGGGAAUGUAAAUUACCGUCUGCGCCCGGAGAAGUUUCUGUCAAAGUGCUUUCGGACAGGGGUUCAACUCCCCUCAUCUCCACCA